rnacentral:piRNA from 1 species
UCUGAGAAAGAAGUGUUAGAGGAGAGU